CGACGGGUGGAUGAAGUGAGGAAGAGUGGGCAAGGGAGGCAAGUCGGACCCAGCCAGGACGCGUGAGGGAAGAAGGUUUUCGGAUUGUAAAGCUCCUUUGGAUGUGACGAUGAUGACGGUAGCAGCGAAAGAAGCCCCGGAUAACUUCGGGCCAGCAGCCGCGGUAAUACGAAGGGGGCAAGCGUUGUUCGGAAUUACUUGGCGUAAAGGGAGUGUAGUCGGUUUAGUAAGAUAGUGGUGAAAUCCCAGGGCUUAACUUUGGAAUUGCCAUUAUAACGCUUAGACUAGAUGUACAGAGAGGAUAGUGGAAUACCCAGUGUAGAGGUGAAAUUCGUAGAUAUUGGGUAGAACACCAGUGGCGAAGGCGACUCUCUGGCUGUACAUUGACGCUGAGGCUCGAAAGCAUGGGGAUCAAACAGGAUUAGAUACCCCUGUAGUC
rnacentral:rRNA from 1 species